CAUCGCCGCCCCGGAGUGUAAAAGUGAUGUAUGCACAGGGGAUUGUCGCUCUGUUUCCAUACCUUGAAGACCCAUAUUCACAGAAUGGCUAUGAACAUUACUACGAUCCUGAAAGUGGUUCAGGCUACAUUGCAUGGCGGUUGAAGACAAUUCAACGAAAAGCUGCUGAGGAAAGAGGUCCUGCAGUUAGUACAUCUCCUAAAGUUGGUGGGCCAGGCCAUGGGCGUACUAGACCCUUUACUGCCGACAGAGUCCUGACUGACGAGGAAGUGGAAUGCGCUAUCGCUUUGUUGAGACACACUGCUGAUGAGGAGACCAUCCGUGAAAAGAUGAAAGUCACUUUCGCAUACCGCCACGCCAUGGUCAAUGAUGAGAACAAAUCAGCAGAGGUCUUCUCAGUAUUUCCACGGUUCCUAGA